rnacentral:lncRNA from 1 species
AUGGAUAUGGCUAUCCGUCCAUCCAUCCAUCUAUCUAUCUGUUUGUCUUUCUGUCCAUUUCUCCAUAUGUAUGUAUGUAUUUAUCUAUAUAUUUAUCUGUCAAUCUAUGAACCUCUAUAUCUACUACUCUUCAUCUAUCUCUCUUACUUUCUAGCAAUAUUUCUCUCUCUCUCUCUCUCUCUCUCUCUCUCCCUUUCUCUCCCUCUCUCCCUGUCUCUCUAUCUCUCUGUCUGUCUCUGUGUCUUUCUAAUUUUCAAAUUCUUUCCCUUUCCUUCCUUUUUUCCUUCCUCCCUCUCUUUCCUCUUAUCUGACUCUUUGUCUAAGUUUUUGUAUGUUUCUCUGUGUAUAAAUGUACAUAUGCUUCUAUCCAUUCCUCCAUCUACCUGUCCUUCUAUUUGUGCAUCCAACGAUCUAUUUCUCUAUGUUUUAACACUCUUUGUGCCAAUUUUUCUUUCUUUCUCUCUUUCUGUCACGUUUCCUCGUUCUGCCUGUUUCCCCAUGUAUGUAUAUAUCUAUAUAUGUAUGUAUGAAUAAAUCUAUCCAUCCAUGUACCAACCCAUCUAUUUCUCUGCCUGUUUCUCUAUCCCUGUCCAUCUGUCUUCCAUAUACCUAUCCCCCCACCCAUCUACCUAUACAUCCUUCUUUUCAUCUCUCUUUCUCUCUAUCAAUUGUUCUCUCUUCAUCUCCAUUUUUCUUUCUAAUUGUCUAUUGCUUUUUUGCCUCUCUGUUUGCCUAGGUAGGUCCACAUAAAUGUAUAUAUUUAUGAAUCGAUCUAUGCAUCCAUCCAUCUACCUUUCUAGGUGUCAUUCUAUCAAUUCAUCAAUUUGUCUGUUUCUCUUUUUGAUAUCUAUGUACUAUGUGAGUACGUAUGUAUCUACGUAUCUAUCGAUAUCUUUGUAUAUAUAUCUUCAACUCAUGCAUUCUGUUUAUGUAUGCAUCUCAUUAUUCAUCUAACUCUCUCCCUCAAUUAAUUUCUCUAUAUAUGUAUGUAUCGAUACAUAUAAAAUUACACAAAGUGACAUCUAUACAUCUAUCUAGUCACCCAUCCAUGUAUCAAUUGUUUUUUCUAUCCAUCUAUCUAUCCCUCCAGCCCUCCCUCCCUCCAUCCAUCCAUCCUUAUAUCAAUCUUUCUUCCUACCACCAUUUCUCUCUUUCAUUCUAACUGUGUUUUUUUAACUAACUUUCUGACUAUUUCUCUAUGUAAGUAUGCUUGCAUGUAUGUAUGUAUUUAUUCAUCCAGCCAUCCAUCUUUCUUUCUGUUUGUCUUUCUUUCUUUCUUUUUUAAACCCUUACCUUCCGUCUUGCAGUCAAUACUGUGUAUUGGCUCCAAGGCAGAAGAGAGGUAAGGGCUAGGCAAUGGGGGUCAGGUGACUUGCCCAUGGUCACACAGCUGAGAAGUGUCUGAGACCAGAUUUGAACCUAGGACCUCCCAUCUCUAGCCCUGGCUCUCAAUCCACUGAGCCACCCAGCUGCCCCCUGUUUGUCUUUCUAACAGUCUCUCUCUCUGUCUUUUUCAAGCCUUCAGUGUGUCUGU